UACGUAGGUGGCAAGCGUUGUCCGGAUUUACUGGGCGUAAAGGGCGUGCAGGCGGUUUGUUAAGUGCAGGGUGAAAGCUCCCGGCUCAACUGGGAGAGGUCCUUGCAUACUGGCAGACUUGAGGGAGGCAGAGGAAAGUCGGAAUUCCCGGUGUAGUGGUGAUAUGCGUAGAUAUCGGGAGGAACACCUGUGGCGAAGGCGGCUUUCUGGGCCUUACCUGACGCUGAGACGCGAAAGCGUGGGGAGCGAACCGG
rnacentral:rRNA from 1 species